rnacentral:hammerhead_ribozyme from 1 species
AUUCAUCUGACGAGUCCCAAAUAGGACGAAAUGUGCGUCCUGGAU